UUGAGUGAUAUAAAAUAUUUGAGAACAAUUUCAAUUUUUUCCUUCUAAAUAUGUUCCCACUUUUUGAGUUUGAAAUAAGAUUUUGGCAACAGGGGCAAAAUUACUUGGGCGAUAUAAGAGUAAAAGGGGCUUUGUGUCAAGAACGCAAGGAAUUGCAGAACCUGAAGCAUGAUGGCUUCUAGAGCAACGGUAUAUACAUAUAUUCAUUAAUCCUCUUUCAUUCAAACAUCAAUAUUCGUGGAGGACCAAGGCAUUAUAAGAGAGGUAUUUAUGUGAUUUCAUUUGAACUAAUUUUAAUUUGAUGAAAUUUUCAUUUAUUAGCUCUUAGACAUAUUUUUGGAAUAAAAAAAAUAACAGUUGUGUGUAUUAUUGAUGGGUGGUGAGAUGAAACAUGGAAUUUUUGUUUUUGGUAAAAAUGCAUCAUGGAAUUUGUGCAACAGAUAUUUUUGGUAUUUUACUAUUCUUUUAAUGGCAUUUUCUAUAAAUUAAUUUCUUUGUAAUUUGAUGAUAUGGUUCGCAUACUUCACAUCUUUGCUUAAUUUCUUUCUUUUAUCUUAUGCUUUUUAUUCUUGAUGGUUUAUUUUAUACUUUUUAUUUUGCAAUUUAUAUUUGAAGUGCAGUUUCUAUAUUUUUCAAUUUGAACAUAUUCAUUGUUUGUUCCUUAUAUAUAGUUUUAAUUAUAAUAAGAGUUUCAAUUUGAAAAGAUUCAUUUUUUUUUAGUGAAAAACAGAUUCGUUGUUUGUGCCUUAUUUGUAGUUUUGAUUAUAAUAAAAAUGCUGGCAAAUAAUUUUGUUUAGCAAGAAAGAAAAUUUAUAUUUUGUUGUACUAUCUUAUUAUUAAUAAUAUUUUGUUUAUAAAAAAAAACACACACACACACACACAAACAUGAUAUACUUUUAUGAUGGAAUAUAUAUACCUAUUGAAUUAUAUGUUUAGAUUAGCUUUUGAUUAAUAAAUUCAUUAGACGCAUGCAUUUAUGAAUUAAUUAGCUAGCUAGAAAUAUGCACACAAUAUCUUGUUGUUCCAAGGAACAUCCCCUCUUUGAUAUAACAUAUAUAUUUAGCCAUUCUAAAUGUUAAAUAUGCUAAAUUAUAAGUAGAAGUGUGUUCAUACUUGUUACAAGAUACUUGUCAAUACAUUAAUUCUGGGUUUUCUCUUGUAAUUCAUAAGAUAGGAUAGGAUGAAAAGGAAAGAAAUAUAUGGUAAUAGGGACAUAUAUAUUUUUUGAACCAAUUCACACUUUCAUGUUUUUAUUGGAGCUAGCUAGAUGGUAGUAAAUUACAAUGAGAAAUCAUUUUCAUUCAUGCAUUGUUUCUUCAAGUAAUAUUAGAAAUAGAAAUUCAAGUCUUCCUCUAUCUUUUUAGACUUUGAUGCCUUUUUCUUAUGUAUUAGUAUAUUUGACACAAUAAGUAUAUUAACAGAUCAUAUUGUUUCUUCUUGUAGUUUCUUUUCAAGAGUUACAUCACCUCUUAUACUUCGUUGAAUAAAAUUUUAUUUGUUUUAUACAACAAAAAUUGAUUCCCCAUUAUAUCACUUUUAUAAUUCUUUUGAACUUGUAUAUAGACAUUCAAUGCUUUUCUUGUUAUGUGGUCUGGAACAUCGUCCUAAAAUAUAAAUAAGAAUUGAUGUAUUAAUCCAAAAUUUGUAUUAAAUAUAUUCACUUACUGUAAUCAAAUUUUGUUUACAUUUUGAGAAGAAAAGUAUAUUAUAAAAG